rnacentral:rRNA from 1 species
UACGAGGGGGGCGAGCGUUGUUCGGAAUUAUUGGGCGUAAAGGGUGCGUAGGCGGUCGGGUAAGUCUGAUGUGAAAUCUCACAGCUUAACUGUGAAACUGCAUUGGAUACUAUCCGGCUCGAGGAAUGGAGGGGAGACUGGAAUACUUGGUGUAGCAGUGAAAUGCGUAGAUAUCAAGUGGAACACCAGUGGCGAAGGCGAGUCUCUGGACAUUUCCUGACGCUGAGGCACGAGAGCCAGGGGAGCAAACGGG